UACGUAGGGGGCAAGCGUUGUCCGGAAUCAUUGGGCGUAAAGCGCGCGUAGGCGGCCCGGUAAGUCCGCUCUGAAAGUCCAGGGCUCAACCCUGGAAAGCGGGUGGAUACUGCCGGGCUAGAAUCCGGAAGAGGCGAGUGGAAUUCCUGGUGUAGCGGUGGAAUGCGCAGAUAUCGGGAGGAACACCGGUGGCGAAGGCGGUUCUCUGGGCCUUACCUGACGCUGAGGAGCGAAAGCGUGGGGAGCGAACAGG
rnacentral:rRNA from 1 species